GAUAGGGUUCCACUAGCCUUAAAUGCCUAACCAUUUCUUUCUCCUUCUCUUUCUCUCUCUCGCUCUAUUUUUUUUCACCCUCUUGUCCUUCCCCUCCCCCCCCCCCCCUCUCUCUCUCAUGGCGAUGGCGAUUUUUCUCCUCUCUGCUUCUUUUUGGUUCAGUCAUCGGCGGUCUCUAAUUCGCUUGGUGCAGGUCGGGAACUGUUUCGCUUUUUGUUCACGUUGAUCUUGAUUGUUGUUGUUUCUUUCAAUUUCCUCUGCGUUGUUCAGGGGAAAUAUAUAUGUGUGUGUGUAAUCGAGCGAAUUGGAUCCCGCCUUGCAUCAACUGAAUCCGAGACAGCGAUGAAGAUUUCAUGGAUCUAGCAUCUUUUACCUGAUGCAGUUUCUUUGAGGAUUGUUGGAUGUCACUGUGGCUAAAUUCAAAAUUUAAGGAGCUCAGCGAAAAGAAAUGGUGGAGAAUCUGAUGAAGGUCAGUCAGUUAUAUUUGAAGUUUUUGAACUAUUGCUAAUAUAGUGAAGUGUUUUUUCUUUUUAAAUGUGGAUAAUUAGUAAUUAUGUAUAUAGCUUUUGAUCAGUUUUACUUUAAAAGUAAAUAUAGUUGUAAGAUUAAAGUGUAUUAAUGUCUUUUUAUGAUCAAAGUUUACUAAUUUUUCCUUUAACCAAUUAGAAGCUAAAAUGCUUGCCACUUUUGUGUCAAAGAUCCGUUGGAUAGAUGCCAACCAACGCAUAUCGAAUCUUUUACUCCCACAAAUUCUUGAUUUAAAAAAGAGAAGGCUAUUAUUUCAAUUUUGAAAAAAAAAAUUAGGACCCUUUUAGCGAAGACAUUCUUAUUGAAUUUUUUUCCCGAAAAUAAAGAAUCGGAAUCAAACCAAAAUUUGAAAAAUUUUAAAUUAAAACCAAACAAUCAAAAAUUAUUUAACAGUAUUGGUCAUGAAUUUUUUAGUGAAGGUAGUUUUGGGGGUUGAUUUCUUACCAAAAACAAAUCAAAUCCAAUUAAAAACAUAUUUAAAAAGUUAACGAACUUAUUCUGUCACAAGUUUUCGUACAAGUAACAUUUUUUAGUCUAUGAAGUGGUGUGAUUUAAUAAUCUUUCAUUUGUAGAUUGAAACUUUUGGUAAAAAAAACCAAUGAUGGCGGCUAAAUUAUUACAAAUUGGUUAUUUGUAUGAUAGUUCAGGGAUGAAACUUUUUUUUUUAAAACUUUUGAAAGGGAAAAAGAGUUUGUCACAUAAUAAUAAAUUAUAGUUUGGCAAUUACAUUAUACUAUAGUAACCAUCUCUUACUAAUAUAAUUUUUAUUUUACUCAACAAUUGAAUACAGUCGAACACUUAUUCAAAAAUUCCAGUUUUUUACGAUACUAUUUGCAACAACUUUUCCUAUCACUUUUUACACACCAAAUUACAAUAAUUGAAAUUUACAACCUAAAUACAAAAGACCGGUAAAAUAUUAGUUUGGCAAUUUUUUUAGAAUGUACGUGAGUACUAGAAGUGAAACAGGGGAAUACAAUAAAAACAAAACAAAACAAAACAGGAUAUGGCUGUUUUAGGGAGAUGUCGAUCUCCCAAUCUUAGUAUAAGUAUUCCUUUCUACAGUAACGAAACUGUGGGAGGGUAUGGUUGGAUAGAACACAGGAUCGUGAGUGUGGGUCUAACCUUGGGCCCUUGGUGAGUUUAGAAGGUUUGUCGGCCCAGUCCGAUGGGCCACAGCUCUUCCAACUACUUCUUUGGGGUUUGUUCCGAUUUGGUUUGGUCCGAACCAACCAUACCCAUGAAAUUGCGGUUGUGUAUGCUAUUGAAAGGGAAAGAAUAAAAAUUAAAAGUUGUGUACAGCUGGUCUACAUUCAUCUAUGGUGCAUUGCUCUACUGCAUUUAAUUAUAAAAAACUGCCACGUGGAUUUUUAGAAAAAUAUUUAAAAUUUGUUUUUAUAAGUGAGUAGGGAAGGGAGCGCGAAUUUGUGUUAAGUUAUCCUAUUGUUGUCAUUGCUGCGUUAUUAUUUCAAUAUUUGUCAUUUGUCAUUCCAAUUUUCAUGUAGAUAAUAAUUAGUUUUUAUUUAAUCUUUAUAACAUUUUCUUUCUAAUUGUAAUUUUUUUAAAAGAUUUCGAGAUUUAACUGUUUGUUUGAAUAUUUGAACAAGUUCGGUAAUUGGUUUAAGUUUUCAAAUCUUAGACCACAACUGUGUCUUUUAUGAGUCUUUAAUUUUAAACUAACAUAUUAUCUUAAUUAUCAUAUAUAUUUGCUAUGGAUUUUGAUGAUAUCAAUAAUAUCUAAAUGACUGGUUGGUUUAAAUAUAUAUUUCACUCUAAUUUCAAUGUCAAUUAAAUUGAUAUUUUCAAUUGAUAAGUUUGUUGUGAAUUCGAGUGUUUUAAAAUUAAAACUCAGUUUUAGUGAUAAAGAUUUUACUUUUUGAAAUUUAAACUCUCUCCACCUUCUUUACUGAACAUUCUCUUGUUAUGGAUGAACUCUACAUGCUCGAUGAUUGAAUUCUAUUUAUUGGUGGUUAAAUUCAAAAACUCUACUAGCUACACAUUUAUCAAUUAGCUAAUCCUACAAUUUUGAAAACAAAAUAAUUUUCGUAUCUUGGUUGUUUGGACCGUUAGUGAUAUAUAAUUAAAUUUGUCCUCGAUCAUCAACUUAACCUUUCAGGUGAAUUGACGGUUUAAUAUGGUAUCAGAGAUAUGUCUCUAACUUAAUCAUGUUAGGAUGAUUCUCAGGCGUCGAACAAAAAUGUGGUAUAGUCUCGAAAGCUUCAAAAAGUAGGUCAUGAUCGAUAGUGUGCUCACAGAAGAGAAGCUAGUCUAGAUAGAGCAUAAUAGAUGAAUGACUGCUUAGGGGGAGCCUGGCAGAUGAAUGGCUAUUUGAAGGGAGGAUUGUAAUGUAAGACUUGUUCGAGGGGAAGAUUAUAAAGCAACCAAAGCCUCACAUCGGUUAGAUAAUGUGAUGAUCUUGGGUAUAUGAGUGAGGACAAUUACUUUCGUCAAGCUUUCUAUAAUUUAUUUGAAUUUUUCUUCUCUAUUUUGUAAAUAUAAUUUUAUUUUGGUUUUGUAAAUAUAAUUUUAUUUUGGAUAAUUUUAUUAACAUUUAUCAUAUAACGACAAGGACAAAGGUGUUGUAAAAAAAUACUAUUUCAAUUCAUUUAUUGAUGUUCUUGGAGCGAAUUACUUA